rnacentral:misc_RNA from 1 species
GCUACUACCGAUUGAAUGGUUUAGUGAGGACUCCUGAUUGGCGCCGCCGCCCCGGCAACGGAGCAGCGGACUGCCGAAAAGUUGUUCAAACUUGAUCAUUUAGAGGAAGUAAAAGUCGUAACAAGGUUUCCGUAGGUGAACCUGCAGAAACA